rnacentral:rRNA from 1 species
GACGAAGGAUGCAAGCGUUAUCCGGAUUCAUUGGGUUUAAAGGGAGCGUAGGCGGCCUUAUAAGUCAGUGGUGAAAUCUCGCAGCUUAACUGCGAAAUUGCCAUUGAUACUGUAGGGCUUGAGUACAGUUGCCGUUGGCGGAAUAUGACAUGUAGUGGUGAAAUACUUAGAGAUGUCAUAGAACACCGAUUGCGAAGGCAGCUAACGAAACUGUAACUGACGCUGAGGCUCGAAAGUGUGGGGAUCAAACAGGAUUAGAUACCCUGGUAGUCCACACUGUAAACGAUGAUUACUCGCUGCUGGGGGGCAACUCUCAGUGGCUUAGCGAAAGCGAUAAGUAAUCCACCUGGGGAGUACGCCGGCAACGGUGAA